rnacentral:rRNA from 1 species
UACGGAGGGUGCAAGCGUUGUCCGGAAUCACUGGGCGUAAAGGGCGCGUAGGCGGCUCAUGAAGGCUGUGGUGAAAAUCCGGGGCUCAACCUCGGAUCGGCCGUGGCGACUCGUGGGCUGGAGCACUGUAGAGGCGGGUGGAAUUCCGGGUGUAGCGGUGGAAUGCGUAGAGAUCCGGAAGAACACCAGUGGCGAAGGCGGCCCGCUGGGCAGUGGCUGACGCUGAGGCGCGACAGCGUGGGGAGCAAACAGG